GCGGCGCGAAUUGGGCCAGCCGCUGUACAGGAGAUCUAUUGCGGCGCGCUACAGCGGCGGGCCAAUAUCCCGCCGUAAUAAACGUGUUUCAGCGGCCCAAAGGUUAGCUAUAGCGGCGGGUCAUUGACCCGCCGCAAUAGGCCCUUACAUUUCCCACACCCGAUCCUAAAUUUUCCCUCUGUUUUUUUUUCCCUAUUCAUUUUAGCGCCUCUUCGUUUUCCCUCAGUCUCCCACACUCUCUCUCUUUCUCUCAGACACCGAAAAUCUCCUCACUGUCUCAUCUCUACCACUACCCACAAACCCACAGCCACAGCCGCCACAGCCACCACCACCACCACCCAAAAAUCGAGCCUAGUUAGGUCCAAAAAGAAAUGGGUUAGGUCUAGCCCGACCCAUUUCUCUUAUCCUUUCUAACCCUAACGGUUCAUGUCCCUAAUCUAGAACCUUCCCUCUUGACAGAAACCCAUGGCUUGAGCAACCUGAUCUCAUCGCCUCAAACCGGCACCGCCAUCAGUAGAGGCGGGUUGCUCCUCAUCAAAAACCCUUACCGAGAUCUCUCUAAUCUAGGUUCGAUCUCUCUCUAAUCUAGGUUCGAUCUCUCUCUCUCCCUCUAGACCUUGAUCGGCCUUUCCGAUCAACAUUCCUUUGAGCUUUGAAUUCGACCACUCAGUUUUGUCCAACUUGGUUCGCAAAGUUCCAGACUAUCGUUGUUGUUUCUGUUGCCCCGUAUGGAGUUGUACAGCUUGGCUCUUUAAAUAAAGCACCAGUGAAGCGAGGAAAUGCAGUGAACACACUACACAACACAAUCACUUUUGAAAGUUCUCAAGAAAGAAUAGGUGGAAAGGACAGCCAAAGAAGAGAAUACAGGCAAAACCAUAAGAACUGGUGGAGUAAGGGGGAGCAAUCAACCACUUUAGCAACUGCUACUGGUUCUAGCUUAUAGAUUGCAAAAAGAAGAGGCACUAUAAGUUUGUGUGAUCAAAACAAGUGAAGUUGGUGAAAAACUUAAGGAUGCUCCUCUGAUCGAACAAUCUCCAGCUCUCCCCAAAUCAUCAGCCGCAUCUUAUCAACCAAGAAGCUUGUAAGUUUUAUCUUGGAUUUCUUGGGCUUUUUUGUGUACAGAGAACUAUGGAAGAACAAUCGCAUUUCUUGCAAGUGUUGAAAGACAUUUUUAAACACUUUAGAAUUUUGAUUAUAGUAUUAGAUUAAUUUCAGCGGUUGUUUUAUUCAAAUGACCACAUCUUUUUUUUGUUAAUUUAAAGAUGGUGGUUAUAGACAAUGUUAUGUAUUUGAUAAUAUAUUUCAAUGUCAAUA